UCGACCUAUGCUUAGGACGGUUCGGGGGUGUUACAGACGGGGUGGCUGCUUUGUUGAGCCAUCCCACGGAAUCGAGAGCUCUAAGUUGGCUAUUUUUGGUAAGCAGAACUGGCGAUGCGGGAUGAACCGGAAGCCGGGUUACGGUGCCCAACUGCGCGCUAACCUAGAACCCACAAAGGUUGUUCGUCGAUUAAGACAGCAGGACGGUGGUCAUGGAAGUCGAAAUCCGCUAAGGAGUGUGUAACAACUCACCUGCCGAAUCAACUAGCCCCGAAAAUGUAUGGCGCUGAAGCGCGCGACCUAUACCCGGCAGUCGGGGCAAGAGCCAGGCCGCGACACACGGUCGCUGCAAAACCUAGGGCGCGAGCCCGGGUGGAGCGGCCGUCGGUA
rnacentral:ncRNA from 2 species